rnacentral:rRNA from 1 species
UACAGAGGUCUCAAGCGUUGUUCGGAUUCAUUGGGCGUAAAGGGUGCGUAGGUGGCGCUGUAAGUCGGGUGUGAAAUUUCGGAGCUUAACUCCGAAACUGCAUUCGAUACUGCGGUGCUUGAGGACUGGAGAGGAGACUGGAAUUCAUGGUGUAGCAGUGAAAUGCGUAGAGAUCAUGAGGAAGACCAGUGGCGAAGGCGGGUCUCUGGACAGUUCCUGACACUGAGGCGCGAAAGCGUGGGGAGCGAACAGG